UUUUGUUUUCAAAAGGCAGAUCCUUGCUACUGAAAAUGUGGUUCAGGACCUUAAAGAUGUUGAUAUGCUGAAGCAAACAAAUAGGUUAUUAAUGUACUGUUGGUGGUGAUAGCAUUACAGAAAAUGCACUGCUGCGACCAUGUGUAGUGUUCAGUAUUGAGGUUCAUAAAUUGAAAGUCAGUGUUGAGGCACCAUAUCUCCUUUUGUUUUCUUUCUUCUCUUCACAUGUUUCUAUUCCACACAAAUACACAAGGGAGUUGUCCUAUCUGCUAGCUCAUCUCAAAGUUUGCUCAAGUGUAGGGUAGAUGGGAAAGAUAUUUGCCGAGUAGCUUUGUUUGCCCAACAGUGUAUUUUUGUACUGUUUGGUUUUCUUGUAACAAAUUGUGUGAGACUCCUACACUGUUUAUGCAAAGAUUUGCUCAGUAGCUUUGCUCUUAUCCAGAGCGGCUAGCUCAUCUCAAAGUUUGCUCAAGUGUAGGGUAGAUGGGAAAGAUAUUUGCCGAGUAGCUUUGUUUGCCCAACAGUGUAUUUUUGUACUGUUUGGUUUUCUUGUAACAAAUUGUGUGAGACUCCUACACUGUUUAUGCAAAGAUUUGCUCAGUAGCUUUGCUCUUAUCCAGAGCGGCGUUUCAGUGCCCGGGCAAAAUAAAAAAUUCGUAAAAAAUAGGAAAAAAUCAAAAAAUUCUGAGUUUUUUUUUUGCAAGCAAGAUGCUUGUGUGCGCGAUGUUUAUGCAAAAUUUGGUGAAGUUUCGACAUUCGAGGAGCGCGCGACAAAAAAGACAAAAUUCGGCUCUGUGAGAAAGUUACUGUUCACGCGCUGUUUUGUCCGGUUUUCUUUUUUUGCCAUGAGCUCCACAGAUGUUCAAACGGGAUGAAAUAUUGCACGCACAUCCUGCACUCAAAACAUCUUUUUGAAGCAAAAAAAAAGUUGAUUUUUUUGUCAUGUUACUGUUCACUGGGUUCAUCUAGACCUGGGCACCGAAUUGGAUUCUCGUGCUCUUAUAUGCUUAUAAGCUACAGUAUCAUUAUGUCCGUCAAAUUGUCUCCAUGAUGAUUUCCUUGGUCGUUUGUUUUGGAGUUCGGUUUUGUGACACCCUAAACAAGGUGAUGACUAGAUGUAUAAUUUCUCAAUGCGUGGCUUAAGAUCACAUAGCGCAGCUCGAAGGACAAGUAUCGGUCGCCAUCUUUUAUCCCUUGUACCAAUAAUUCUUGUUUGUGAAAGGUGGAUAAAAGAUCAAAUUUAUUUUUAGAAUAUGUUUGUGUAAUGAAUUUUGCAUUGCAUUUAUUUACAACAAACGUUUAAAAUAAGUUGCAUUUGGCCUGACUACUACAUAUGUAGCUAUGCCAAGUCAUUGCUCAACUGAAGGUGGAGAAUGAAAUAAAAUCCCAUUUAGAAGCUUACGUGAACGCCUUUUUCUUAUUUAUGUCAAAAUAACAUCCACAUUUUAGUCUUACCAAACUGCUAGUUAUAAGAUACAUCUGUUUUAGUUAUUUCUAUCAAAAUUAGGUAUUUUGAACCUAAAACAUACAAUGCCAUGGCAUAUUUGGUUAUUUGUUCCUCAGUAAGGACCUUCCUUCAGUUAUAGCUUCCAGUGGCCUCUUUCAGAUUUUGUGCGAAGUUGCUUUUUAUCCUAAGGUUUCAGUAUUUUUCCUGUGAAUGACUGCCAUUUAUCUCUACAUCAGUGUAGUUGUUUGUUUCAGAUGUACUCCCAGUCUGCUAGCUAUGAGCACACAAGUCUUUGGGCCCAUGACUUUUUUUGUUCUAGAAGAUAUGCGACUGGUUUUUGUCCUGCAUCGAACAUAGUCUCUCUUAAGACAAUAAGAGUACCACCGCACAAUUCCUAAUUUUCUAUGAAUUUAGUAAAAUCAUCAAAGUGAGACCAGCUAAUGGUAGUGCAGGAUCUGAUCUCACAAUUACAUGUUAGGUUAUAGUAAAAUGAUGACAAUUACAUAUGUGCGUAUUUAACAUACAUAUAAUUGUAUUGCCAUUUCUCCUCCAGAGUAUUACUGUUGCCACCUUAUCCAUAUAACUACUAUUUUCCUUGUUCUCGCAGAUUCUACUUUGCACUGGGUGAGUACAUAUACCGGACCCGGAGUUCUGCUUUCCAUCCAAGAGCAACUUUCAACUGCACACCUCUCUCUCUGACGGACGCCAGCAUUGGCUGUCCUCUUGCUCUCUCCGGCAAUGCUCAGGGCAAGCUUGCUUGGACUUCCCAGCCAAGCCAACUUCUGAAGCCAUGUCCUAUUAGUUAGGGAGGGGCAAUAUGGAACUACCAGGCCAAGUAUCAGGGAUCAUGAAGUUUGACUAUCGUUUUACUUUGCCUAUUUUCUGUUAACAAGGUGUUUCUCUGGCUCAAGUCAAUCCCUUGUUUAUUUGCUACUGUGGGAGUGAGAAAUUGUUGUGUUUGACUGCAACUUGUCCCAUGAGAUUGCUGUUUGAGAUCCUUAUUCUCAUGCUUGUAUUAUUAUGGAUACAGUUUUAA